AUUGAACGCUGGCGGCAGGCCUAACACAUGCAAGUCGAGCGGAUGAAGGGAGCUUGCUCCUGGAUUCAGCGGCGGACGGGUGAGUAAUGCCUAGGAAUCUGCCUGGUAGUGGGGGAUAACGUCCGGAAACGGGCGCUAAUACCGCAUACGUCCCGAGGGGGAAAGUGGGGGAUCUUCGGACCUCACGCUAUCAGAUGAGCCUAGGUCGGAUUAGCUAGUUGGUGGGGUAAAGGCCUACCAAGGCGACGAUCCGUAACUGGUCUGAGAGGAUGAUCAGUCACACUGGAACUGAGACACGGUCCAGACUCCUACGGGAGGCAGCAGUGGGGAAUAUUGGACAAUGGGCGAAAGCCUGAUCCAGCCAUGCCGCGUGUGUGAAGAAGGUCUUCGGAUUGUAAAGCACUUUAAGUUGGGAGGAAGGGCAGUAAGUUAAUACCUUGCUGUUUUGACGUUACCAACAGAAUAAGCACCGGCUAACUUCGUG
rnacentral:rRNA from 1 species